rnacentral:rRNA from 1 species
AUACGGAGGGGGCGAGCGUUAUUCGGAAUCAUUGGGCGUAAAGGGCGCGUAGGCGGCCUGACAAGUCAGGGGUGAAAUCCCUCGGCUCAACCGAGGAACUGCCUCUGAAACUGUCAGGCUUGAGGCCGGGAGAGGGUAGUGGAAUUCCCAGUGUAGCGGUGAAAUGCGUAGAUAUUGGGAGGAACACCAGUGGCGAAGGCGGCUACCUGGACCGGUUCUGACGCUGAGGCGCGAAAGUGGGGGGAGCAAACAGGAUUAGAAACCCUAGUAGUCC